AUGACCAACAAAAUACCUGAAGACAUGGCAGGUGAGACGCAAGAUACGGAUUGCUUGGAGCUUCAAUCGCUGCAACUUGACAUAAAAACACUCCGGCAAGAACGCGAGGAUGACAGAAAGGAGUUCUACCAUUUCACAGAAUCUGUCAACAAGAACUUCGCUAGCAUACAGAAGAAUUUCAAGAAAAUUCAGAUCUCCUUGCUAAAGUUAACAACAGAGCAGUCAGUUGACGAAGAAGAAGAGGAGGAAGAAAGACCAUAUCCGCCGUCAGGGCAAGGAAGCACGGCUGUCCCUCCAGGAAGGCCAAAGCAGCUAUCAAACAACCACCUUGCCACUGAGAAACAUGAACCUGCUACUGGGGGAUCUGCUGUUCUUGUUGACAAAGCAAUAAGCAGAGAGCUAAACAUGGAUGGCACGCCAAAGGUCCCUUACAGGCACCCUAAUCAUACAGCAAACAAGCAAGACUUCCACACCCCUCAGCAACAACAAGAUCAAGGCACAAAACAUAUCCUGACAGUGGACGAAUUACCUGAAGCAAAGGUCAGAAGAGAAAGGAACAGAACUUAUACACCUGAAGUUAGAAGAAAUAUCCUUUGUGUUAAACCUGCUAAGUUAAACAUUGCUGAGUUCGAUGUAGUUGAUGCAGACUCUUGGAUACAAAAUAUUGAACAAUAUUUUUCCGCUGCAAGAACCCCAAUUGAGCAAAGAACUGAGAUAGCAGUUUCAUACUUAAAAGGAGAAGCUAUCCAAUGGUGGAGAGGUGCAGGGUUUAUUGUUCACCAUACUCCAUGGCACAAGUUCUGCUCUGCGAUCACACAAAGAUUUGCGGUAACAUCUGUGUGUGAGAAUGUGAAGGCCUUUCACAAGUUAACACAACAAACUUCAGUUGCUCAGUAUAUUACAGAGUUUGAACAACACAUGAACUUGAUGAGGAGGGACAAUCCUGCAGUACCUGAUGACUAUUAUAUGCAUAGUUUCAUUGCUGGGCUAAACCCUUACAUCCAAAGUCACCUGGAAUGUUUAGAACCUACGGACAUGAACAAAGCUAUGUGGUUAGCCAGACGAAUUGAAAAGUCCUGCCCCCCUGCCAUCACUCAGAAGCCUUAUGUGCCCAACUACAGAAAAGGAACUACAGGAGAAAUAUCUAAACCUGUCCUUCCUGCCAGCACAUCUCCUGCUGCUGUUAUACAACAAGCUAGAGAAAAAGUUAUUUGUUAUGAAUGCAGAGAACCAUGGUUCCCAGGGCAGAAGCAAGUGUGCAAGAUGUCACCAAAAGCACAAGUUCAGGCACUGCAAGCAUAA
rnacentral:rRNA from 1 species